rnacentral:rRNA from 1 species
UUCCAGACUCCUACGGGAGGCAGCAGUGGGGAAUAUUGCACAAUGGGGGGAACCCUGAUGCAGCGACGCCGCGUGGGUGAAGGAGUACUUCGGUACGUAAAGCCCUAUCAGCAGGAAAGAAAAUGACGGUACCUGACUAAGAAGCCCCGGCUAACUACGUGCCAGCAGCCGCGGUAAUACGUAGGGGGCAAGCGUUAUCCGGAUUUACUGGGUGUAAAGGGAGCGCAGGCGGCACGGCAAGCCUGAUGUGAAAGCCCGCGGCCCAACCGCGGGACUGCAUUGGGAACUACCGGGCUGGAGUGCCGGAGAGGUAGGCGGAAUUCCUAGUGUAGCGGUGAAAUGCGUAGAUAUUAGGAGGAACACCAGUGGCGAAGGCGGCUUACUGGACGGCAACUGACGCUGAGGCUCGAAAGCGUGGGGAGCAAACAGGAUUAGAUACCCCUGUAUC